UACGGGGGGGGCAAGCGUUGUUCGGAAUUACUGGGCGUAAAGGGUUCGUAGGUGGCUUGCUAAGUCAGACGUGAAAUCCCUCGGCUUAACCGGGGAACUGCGUCUGAUACUGGUUGGCUUGAAUCCGGGAGAGGGAUGUGGAAUUCCAGGUGUAGCGGUGAAAUGCGUAGAUAUCUGGAGGAACACCGGUGGCGAAGGCGGCAUCCUGGACCGGUAUUGACGCUGAGGAGCGAAAGCCAGGGGAGCAAACGGG
rnacentral:rRNA from 1 species